rnacentral:rRNA from 1 species
GACGAACGCUGGCGGCGUGCUUAACACAUGCAAGUCGAACGAUGAUGCUCCAGCUUGCUGGGGUGGAUUAGUGGCGAACGGGUGAGUAACACGUGAGUAACCUGCCCUCUUCUUCGGGAUAAGCUUGGGAAACUGGGUCUAAUACUGGAUAUUCUGCAAUUGUCGCAUGGUGGUUGUGGGAAAGAUUUUUUGGUGGGGGAUGGGCUCGCGGCCUAUCAGCUUGUUGGUGGGGUGAUGGCCUACCAAGGCGUCGACGGGUAGCCGGCCUGAGAGGGUGACCGGCCACACUGGGACUGAGAUACGGCCCAGACUCCUACGGGAGGCAGCAGUGGGGAAUAUUGCACAAUGGGCGCAAGCUUGAUGCAGCGACGCCGCGUGGGGGAUGACGGCUUUCGGGUUGUAAACCUCUUUCGAUGGGGAACAAGGCCAUAUUUUUGUGUGGUUGAGGGUACCUGUAUAAGAAGCGCCGGCUAACUACGUG